rnacentral:rRNA from 1 species
AUUGAACGCUGGCGGCAGGCUUAACACAUGCAAGUCGAGCGAGCGGCGGACGGGUGAGUAAUGUCUGGGAAACUGCCUGAUGGAGGGGGAUAACUACUGGAAACGGUAGCUAAUACCGCAUACCAUCAGAUGUGCCCAGAUGGGAUUAGCUAGUAGGUGGGGUAAUGGCUCACCUAGGCGACGAUCCCUAGCUGGUCUGAGAGGAUGACCGGGAAGACUGGAACUGGGACACGGUCCAGACUGCUACGGGAGGCGGCAGUGGGGAAUAUUGAACAAUGGGCGCAAGCCGGAGGCAGCCAUGCCGCGUGGGGGAAGAGGGCCUUCGGUUUGUAAAGCACUUUCAGCGAGGAGGCGUUACUCGCAGAAGAAGCACCGGCUAACUCCGUGCCAGCAGCCGAGGUAAUUC